AUCCUUUUGUUGUUCAUAAGUGUGAUGAUUGGGUUUUCAUACACGUAUGAGAUGUGCCUCCUUCAAGCCUUGUUACUACAAAGUCAGCGCGUUACGCAUCUGAUG